GACGGAGGGUGCAAACGUUGUUCGGAAUUACUGGGCGUAAAGCGUGCGUAGGCGGUCGUGUAAGUCGGGUGUGAAAGCCCCGGGCUCAACCUGGGAAUUGCAUUCGAGACUGCACGGCUGGAGUGCGGAAGAGGGAAGCGGAAUUUCCGGUGUAGCGGUGAAAUGCGUAGAUAUCGGAAGGAACAUCAGUGGCGAAAGCGGCUUCCUGGUCCAGCACUGACGCUCAGGCACGAAAGCGUGGGGAGCAAACAGG
rnacentral:rRNA from 1 species